rnacentral:rRNA from 1 species
AAUAUUGCACAAUGGAGGAAACUCUGAUGCAGCGACGACGCGUGAGCGAUGAAGGCUUUUGGGUCGUAAAGCUCUGUCCUAGGGGACGAUAAUGACGGUACCCUAGGAGGAAGCCCCGGUUAACUAUGUGCAUGCAGCCGCGGUAAUACGUAGGGGGCGAGCGUUGUCCGGAAUUAUUGGGCGUAAAGGGUUCGCAGGCGGCCUUUUAAGUCAGAUGUGAAAGCCCACGGCUUAACCGUGGUAAGCAUUUGAAACUGGAAGGCUUGAGUUAAGGAGAGGAAAGUGGAAUUCCUAGUGUAGCGGUGAAAUGCGUAGAUAUUAGGAAGAAUACCAGUGGAGAAGGCGACUUUCUGGACUUAUACUGACGCUGAGGAACGAAAGCGUGGGGAGCAAACA